GCGCCUGUAGCUCAGUGGUAGAGCAGUGGCCUUUUAAGCCAAUGGUCGUGGGUCCGAUCCCCACCGGGCGCACCA
rnacentral:tRNA from 1 species